rnacentral:rRNA from 1 species
GACGAACGCUGGCGGCGUGCUUAACACAUGCAAGUCGAACGGAAAGGCCCUGCUUUUGUGGGGUGCUCGAGUGGCGAACGGGUGAGUAACACGUGAGUAACCUGCCCUUGACUUUGGGAUAACUUCAGGAAACUGGGGCUAAUACCGGAUAGGAGCUCCUGCUGCAUGGUGGGGGUUGGAAAGUUUCGGCGGUUGGGGAUGGACUCGCGGCUUAUCAGCUUGUUGGUGGGGUAGUGGCUUACCAAGGCUUUGACGGGUAGCCGGCCUGAGAGGGUGACCGGCCACAUUGGGACUGAGAUACGGCCCAGACUCCUACGGGAGGCAGUGGUGGGGAAUAUUGCACAAUGGGCGGAAGCCUGAUGCAGCAACGCCGCGUGCGGGAUGACGGCCUUCGGGUUGUAAACCGCUUUCGCCUGUGACGAAGCGUGAGUGACGGUAAUGGGUAAAGAAGCACCGGCUAACUACGUG